rnacentral:rRNA from 1 species
AGAGUUUGAUCCUGGCUCAGGACGAACGCUGGCGGCGUGCUUAACACAUGCAAGUCGAACGGAAUCCAUGGUGUAGCAAUACAUCGGAAGAUUUAGUGGCGAGCGGGUGAGGAUCACGUGAGAAACGUGCCCCAGACUCUGGGAUAACAAUUGGAAACGAUUGCUAAUACCGGAUGACGUCGGAGAAUCGCAUGAUUCACUGACGAAAGAUAUUUCGGUUUGGGAGCGUCUCGCGGCCUAUCAGCUUGUUGGUGGGGUAAUGGCCUACCAAGGCAACGACGGGUAGCUGGUCUGAGAGGAUGAUCAGCCACACUGGGACUGAGACACGGCCCAGACUCCUACGGGAGGCAGCAGUGGGGAAUCUUGCGCAAUGGGCGAAAGCCUGACGCAGCAACGCCGCGUGCGGGAUGAAGGCCUUCGGGCUGUAAACCGCUUUCAGCAGGAACGAAAAUGACGGUACCUGCAGAAGAAGGAGCGGCCAACUACGUGCCAGCAGCCGCGGUGACACGUAGGCUCCAAGCGUUGUCCGGAUUUAUUGGGCGUAAAGAGCUCGUAGGCGGUUGAGUAAGUCGGGUGUGAAAACUCUGGGCUUAACCCGGAGACGCCAUCCGAUACUGCUCUGACUAGAGUUCAGGAGGGGAGUGGGGAAUUCCUAGUGUAGCGGUGAAAUGCGCAGAUAUUAGGAGGAACACCGGUGGCGAAGGCGCCACUCUGGACUGAAACUGACGCUGANNAGCGAAAGCAUGGGUAGCGAACAGGAUUNNAUACCCUGGUAGUCC